rnacentral:rRNA from 1 species
CCUACGGGUGGCUGCAGUAGGGAAUCUUCGGCAAUGGACGAAAGUCUGACCGAGCAACGCCGCGUGAGUGAAGAAGGUUUUCGGAUCGUAAAACUCUGUUGUUAGAGAAGAAUAAGGAUGAGAGUAACUGUUCAUCCCUUGACGGUAUCUAACCAGAAAGCCACGGCUAACUACGUGCCAGCAGCCGCGGUAAUACGUAGGUGGCAAGCGCUGUCCGGAUUUAUUGGGCGUAAAGCGAGCGCAGGCGGUUUCUUAAGUCUGAUGUGAAAGCCCCCGGCUCAACCGGGGAGGGUCAUUGGAAACUGGGAGACUUGAGUGCAGAAGAGGAGAGUGGAAUUCCAUGUGUAGCGGUGAAAUGCGUAGAUAUAUGGAGGAACACCAGUGGCGAAGGCGGCUCUCUGGUCUGUAACUGACGCUGAGGCUCGAAAGCGUGGGGAGCAAACAGGAUUAGAUACCCUUGUAGUC